AUUUAGUCCUUUAUAAUCCUGAGCAACGAUUUAUUAACCCCGUUGCUACAGCUUCGCUUAAGGACAAUAUUAAAAGAAGUUUUAUUAUCCUAGCGCCCAAAUUUCUAAUUCCUAUUUGCGGUGCUCGAGAAACGUAGAACAACAUUU